rnacentral:rRNA from 1 species
AGCCCUAAAUCUUGAUGCUUCCCAAACACAAACAUCCGCCCGAGAACUACGAGCACAAACGCUUAAAACUCUAAGGACUUGGCGGUGCCCUAAACCCACCUAGAGGAGCCUGUUCUAUAAUCGAUAACCCACGAUCCACCCGACCACUUCUUGCCAAAACAGCCUACAUACCGCCGUCCCCAGCCCACCUCUGUGAGAGCACAACAGUGAGCCCAACAGCCUCCACUCCGCUAAUAAGACAGGUCAAGGUAUAGCCCACGAAGUGGAAGAAAUGGGCUACAUUUUCUAAAAUAGAACACCCAACGAAAAGGGGCCUGAAACCUGCCCCAAGAAGGCGGAUUUAGCAGUAAAGCGGGAUAAUUAAGCCCUCUUUAAGCUGGUCCUAGGGCA